AUGAGCAAGAUACUCAUCGCCAUGUCUUUUGUGCUGAUGUUCUCGGCAUCUACGCCGCAAGCAUCAGCCGCAGUCCUUGGAGCCGCCGGAGGGAUCCUGCGGGUCCCUUCUAGUGACUCCUUGGCUCACUGCAUCCCAAGGUGCGGGGACGUCGACAUCCCCUAUCCCUUCGGUAUAGGGCCCGGCUGCUUCCGUCAAGGCUUCGAUCUCACCUGCAACCACUCCACCUACAAUCCCAGGCUCUUUUUAGGCAGCAGCACUAUCCAGGUCACUGACAUUGACAUAUACUCCGGCGUAGUAUGGACCCCUAUAAUCUACAACCUUACAACGAGUCUAGGUACAAAUACAUACGACAUCAUAUGGAAGGCCCCUGCUAAAGGUAUUACUCUCACUAGAGAUAAUACUUUGUACGUAGCUGGUUGUGAUUUGGACGUCACCUUGUUCAAGUAUGGUACAAGAAACAUGGUUGGUUCUUGUAUGACUAGAUGCGCCGGCAGGAAGGCACCGACUGGAGGGCCUUGUAAUGGAAAGGGCUGCUGCCUCAUCCGGUUUGCAAGUGACCUGCCAGGCUUUCACGCAAAUCUUGUCAGCACUAAUACUACUGCAACACAAUCAGAUUGGUUCCACCCUGGCAUCAUGGCUUUAGUGUCAAAUUAUCCAGAUUAUUACAUAGAUGAUGUUGGAGCCGAUCUUUUCUCUAGUUGGACAAAUGAGAUCCAGGCGGAGCUUAGAGUUGCCAUCAUGGACCAACCAAGCUGUGUAAGUGCACAACUGAAGAGGGAAAGCUAUGCCUGUAGCAACCGUAGCAGUUGUCGGAAUUCCUCAUUCGGUGGUUACCAAUGUGUCUGCCCUUCUUAUAACGGAGACAACCCUUACAUGUUACAUGGAUGCAUGCAAGAUUAUAACCCCAAGCCCAAAGAAGACUGUCCCGCAUCAUGUGGUCGCAUUACUGUUCCCUUCCCCUUUGGUCUUGAAGAAGGGUGUUAUGCAAACGAAAGAUUUCGUCUUAAUUGUACAUCUGGUGAUCUCAUAUUUUCUCUCUCAAUUGCACAAUAUCUUGUGACUGAUAUAUCCGUGGAAGAUGGGACUUUGAUUGUUAACAACAUGGUGAAUGGAAGUAAUGCUGAAGAGGUAGUAAUUAUGAAGACUCAGAGUGCUGGACAUUCAUUGCAUUUGGGCCCCCCUGUGGAAGAUCUAUUUGAUUUCUCUAUGGAAUACAACAUUGUUAUGAACUGGGCGGUUACCAAUUUAACAUGUCAAACAGCUAUGCAGAAGGAUAUUUAUGCAUGCCGCAGUUCCCACAGCUAUUGCCUAAAUGUCACCCAUGGGGAAAUAUUUAUGGGAUACCGUUGCAAGUGUUCUUUAGGCUAUCAAGGAAAUCCGUACAUCAAAGAUGGCUGCAAAGAUAUCGAUGAGUGUGCAGGAUCAACCUACUGCAAUGGGACAUGUCAAAAUUUUAUUGGAAGCUACAAAUGCACGAGUUGCCCUCAUAGAAAAGAGUUUGAUCCAAUAAAACGGCAGUGUGUUACAUCAGCCAAGCAACACAGUCUUCUUUUGGGCAUCGCAAUUGGAACUGGAUGUGGUCUUGGCUCCAUAAUUAUUGCAGCCUGUGUAGUUAGAUUCACCAACAAGUGGAAGAAAGGCAUCCGGAAGAGAAUCCGACGAGCACACUUCAAGAAAAAUCAAGGUCUUCUUUUGGAGCAGCUUAUCUCAGAUGAAAACGCCACAAAUAAAACAAAGAUAUUCUCCUUGGAGGAUCUACAGAAGGCAACCAACAACUUCGAUACCACUCGUGUUCUUGGUCGUGGAGGACACGGUACAGUUUAUAAAGGGAUUCUAUCUGACCAACGGGUGGUGGCUAUUAAAAAAUCCAAAAUUGUGGAGCAAACUGAGAUAGACCAGUUUAUCAAUGAGGUUGCUAUCUUGUCUCAAAUCAUUCAUCGAAAUGUGGUAAAGCUCUUCGGUUGUUGCCUUGAAUCUGAGGUGCCUUUGCUUGUGUACGAGUUCAUAUCUAAUGGCACACUGCAUGACCUACUUCACAUUGAUGUUGGUGUUAAAUGCUUGCUGUCUUGGGAUGAUCGCAUUAGGAUUGCAGUAGAAGCGGCUGGCGCACUUGCUUAUCUGCACUCGGCUGCUGCAAUACCAAUUUUCCAUAGAGACGUGAAAUCUUCUAAUAUUCUAUUGGACAGCAGCUUUGCCACAAAGGUUUCUGAAUUUGGUGCUUCAAGGUCUCUUUCACUCGAUGAGACACAUGUGGUGACUAUUGUCCAAGGAACCUUUGGUUACCUAGAUCCAGAGUAUUACCAUACUGGGCAGUUGACGGAAAAGAGUGAUGUGUAUAAUUUUGGAGUAAUACUUGUGGAACUUUUGACAAGAAAAAAGCCAAUUUUUAUCAAUGAUAUAGGUGCAAAACAGAACUUGGCCCAUUAUUUCGUGGAAGGAUUGCAAGAGGGAGCUAUCAUGGAAUUAAUGGAUCCUCAGGUUAUCAAAGAGGCAAGCCCAGAAGAUGUUGAUGAUAUUUGCUCACUUACAGAAGCAUGCUUGAGGCUCAAAGGAAGAGACAGGCCUACUAUGAAAGAAGUAGACAUGAGGUUGCAAUUCCUGAGAACUAAAAGGCAAAGAAAAUGCAAUAUUCUUCCAGAGGUCAGCUACUCUACUGCACAGAUGCUGCCCAGUUGCUAUAGUCUAGAACAAGAACACUCAUCCUCUCUCACAUUGCCACGCUAA
rnacentral:rRNA from 1 species